AACGCACAUUGCGCCCGCCAGCAUUCUGGCGGGCAUGCCUGUCCGAGCGUCAUUUCAACCAUCAAGCCCCCGGGCUUGCGUUGGGGAACUGCGGCUGCCCGCAGGCCCCGAAAUGCAGUGGCGGGCUCGCGGACACACCGAGCGUAGUAGCAUACACCUCGCUCAGGGCGUGCCGCGUGUCCUGGCCGUAAAGCGGAGCCAUCUCGGCGCUAGGUUGACCUCGGAUCAGGUAGGAGGACCCGCUGAACUUAA
rnacentral:misc_RNA from 1 species